UACGUAGGCAGCAAGCGUUGUUCGGAAUUACUGGGCGUAAAGAGUGCGUAGGCGGUCUGCCAAGUCUGGUGUGAAAUCUCCUGGCUCAACUGGGAGGGUGCGCCGGAAACUGGUGGGCUUGAGUGUGGGAUAGGCAGGCGGAAUUCCUGGUGUAGCGGUGAAAUGCGUAGAUAUCAGGAGGAACACCGGCGGUGUAGACGGCCUGCUGGACCAUGACUGACGCUGAGGCACGAAAGCGUGGGGAGCAAACAGG
rnacentral:rRNA from 1 species